rnacentral:rRNA from 1 species
GAUGAACGCUGGCGGCGUGCCUAAUACAUGCAAGUCGAGCGAACAGACGAGGAGCUUGCUCCUCUGACGUUAGCGGCGGACGGGUGAGUAACACGUGUAUAACCUACCUAUAAGACUGGUAUAACUUCGGAAAACCGGAUCUAAUACCGUAUAAUAUAUUGAACCGCAUGGUUCAAUAGUGAAAGACGGUUUUGCUGUCACUUAUCGAUGGAUCCGCGCCGCAUUAGCUAGUUGGUAAGGUAACGGCUUACCAAGGCAACGAUGCGUAGCCGACCUCAGAGGGUGAUAGGCCACACUGGAACUGAGACACGGUCCAGACUACUACGGGAGGGAGCAGUAGGGAACCGUACGCAAUGGGCGAAAGCCUGACGGAGCAACGCCGAGUGAGUGACGAAGGUCUUCGGAUCGUAAAACUCUGUUAUUAGGGAAGAACAAAUGUGUAAGUAACUAUGCACGUCUUGACGGUACCUAAUCAGAAAGCAACGGCUAACUACGUG